rnacentral:lncRNA from 1 species
AUGCAAAUGGAGAAUGCAGAUUCAGCUGUGGGCAACUUGGAUCCUUCUUCAGGGGACACUUCUCUGCAGCUGUUCCUUUCUCCAGGACUGGUCCCAGCAUCUGAACCACAAUCCCUUAUUCUAAGAGGAGCCCCAGCCCGUGACUGGCGAGUUUGUGCCAUAAGACCCUGGCUAUUUCCCCCAGCAUGGAACCUUCUAAUGGCCAGCGUUCUCUGCGGCCUGCUGGGCUGCCAAAGAUUUUCCACUUAUACAUUGUAAUUUGAGGGCUCUCCUUCGAGGUCGUGCUGUUUUUCCUUUUCUUUUCUUUCACAGGUAUUAUUCCCCACUAAAUCCAUUUGCUCUCCUAACACCUCCUCAUUGUCUACAUUCUGGAAAACCCAAAUUAUA